rnacentral:lncRNA from 1 species
AGGCAAUCCCUUUCUCCACUCCUCAUCAUCCCAGUUAUGUCUUAUUAGUUGAAACAGUGUCUCGCUCUGUCACCCAGGCUGGAGUGCGGUGGCAUGACCAUAGCUCACUGCAGCCUUGAACUCUGGGCUCAAGCGAUUCUCUCACCUCGGUCUCCUGAGUAGCUAGAACUACAGGCAUGACCACCCCGUCCCGGCUAAUUUUCUUAUUAUUAUUAUUUGUAGAGACUGAGUUGCACUGUGUUGCCCAGGCUGGUCUCAAAUUCCUGGCUUCAAGAGAUCUUCCUGCCUCAGCCUCCCAAACUGUUGGGAUUACAGGUAUGCGUCACUGUGCCUGGCCAUAAGGUCAUUUUAUAUUCUGUUGUCUAUCACCAUCAGUACAAUCACUACCAUAUGCUGAGCCAAGUCCUGCCGAUCGCAGAGCUUAGGGCUCAGAAUCCCCAGGAUCCUGGGGGGUAGUGAAGCUGGGAGGGGUCAUGCCCCCAGGCCAGGGACUGACCAAGGAGAAUCGAAAGGAAACCUAGCCCAGAAAUUCCAAGAGAACAUGCUGCAGAGCCGGACACCUUCACGUGCCCCCAGCAAGAUGAUGUGGCCCUGAGAGAGGAGCGGACCAGAGGGUACACCUGACAGCAGAGGCAAGUUAGGAAGUCCGGGGACAGUCCUAACUCUGGAUAGCAAAGAUUUAAUUUCAAGCAUAAGGCAGCCCUGGAAAAGCAAUUGACUGCCACUGAGUAUUGAUGAAGCUAGCACUUACUGCAGGCUGUGGCGGGCACAGUUCCAAACAAGAGCCCCGUUCUAAAGAUGGGGAAACUGAGGUAUCGGCAUUUAGACAUCACAGACCUUACUUCAGGGCCGCUGGACAGGGGUCAGGCAGGCCCUGGAGCACAGGUGGCCAUGGGAGUGAAGGCAGAGGGACUGGGGCAGAGGACUGGUGGGGUGGUCAGUUCUGGGGCCUGAGCUGAAGAAGUCGGGAGCGGGGCGUGGCGUGGCGUUUCCACGCCCAUGGAUUUUAGACAGCUGUUCCGGGGGAGGAGGCGAGCCCACCGAGGAUGCUGAGUCAUGUUGACCGGCGAAGGCGAGGGGACCACGCCUCUGGAGCUACCGGGGUUGGCUCAUCGCCUCCGGGGAGGCCACGGAGCAGGUGUAGGCGGGGUUGAGCGCAGGCGCGGAUGGGGCGGGGGUAAUGCGCACGCGUGUGCGUGUGGGCCAGCACGUCCGGGUGGUCAGGACGCGCGCUUGUGCGCAUGUCCCCGCGCAGGGUCGGGCGCUGGGGUGUGGAGACUGAACCUUGCAGACACCCGGGUCCGCACGUCUGGGAUGGACGUGGUGAGUGCACGUGCGCACGCGCUGCGUAGGGGCGGCUGCGCUCAUGCGCACAUCGGGAGUGGUGCUUGGAGAGGCCACCUACUCACCGCGCCCCCAAGAGGCCGGGGGUUUGUCCCUGGUGUUGGCCCUACCCUGCGCGAUCCAGUCUUGUCGUUUCGGGGCUUCAUUACCAGAGCCCCGUGAAUCCUUUGCUAGAUGCUUAAAAACAUUUUCCCCAUUGUACAUAGCUGUUUCCACGAGAAUAAAAAGCUUUACAUUUAUUUGAGGCCUGCUUGGGCCUAUCCGCAGCUCCACCGUAGUGCUAAUCCCCUCCCAGUCCUGGAACAGCCCAGAUGAUGUAUUUAAUAGUAUUCUUUUAGCCCAACGCGAGAAUGUUUUCGUCUGGUUGUUUUUGUUUUUCGUUUUUAGAGACAGUCUCGCUAUAUUACCCAGGCUGGAGUGCAGUGUCAAGAUCUCGACUCACUGCAGCCUUGAACUCCUGGGCUCAAGUGAUCCUCCCACAGUGCUGGGAUUACAGGCGUGAGCCACCGCACCCGGCCUCUAGUUCUGUCUUUUUGCUCAGUAUUAGAAUUCGUAAGUUCUGGCCCCAGCAACUCGUCCUUUCAUCUGUCUCAAGUUGCACUGUGGUGGUCACAGGAGCUGUCCUGCACCUUGCACAUGUGGCCAUGAACAAGACUCGCUCCUUGCUCUCAUGGGGCCUUCAUUCCAGUGAGACACAAAUGCAAACACAAAAUUCCAGAAGAGUGCUGAGUGCUAUCAUGAGAAACGAAGACAGGCUGGAAGAUGGGCUCUGACCCCAGAAAACCGAUGGAGAGGCCCAAGCAGCCUUGGGAGCAACAGGCAAGUUGGAGGACACACGGCAAGGCUACUUGGAAGUAGGGGAGGGUGCAUGGGAAACCCUGAGGCUGUGGGGGGAGAGGCAGGAGCCAGGUGAAGUCCAGGUAGAUGGCAGUGGAGAUGUAAGAACAUGGUGGAAUUUUUUUGUUUUUGAGACGGAGUCUUGCUCUGUCCCCCAGGGUGGAGUGCAAUGGUGAGAUCUCAACUCACUGCAACUUCCGCCUCCCAGGUUCAAGCGAUUCUCUGGGAUUAUAGGCACCUGCCACCAUGCCCAGCUAAUUUUUGUAUUUUUUAGUAGAGAUGGGUUUUCACCAUGUUGGUCAGGCUAGUCUCGAACUCCUGACCGCGGGUGAUCCGCCCGCCUCAGCUUCCCAAAGUGCUGGGAUUACAGGCGUGAGCCACCGCGCCUGGCCAGAACAUGGUGGAAUUUGAGUGUGCUUGGGAAUACACUUAUAGGACUUGCUGAUUAGUUGAAUGAGGAAAUAAAAGAACGAAGAAUAUCUUCUGGGAUUUCAGCCUGAGCAACUGGGUUGCUGGUGGAUGGUGGUUCUCUUAUCAAGGAUGGGAAAGAUGGGUUGUCUCCCCUAAAAUACUGAGUUUUAAAGGCAGGGACUGUAUCUUUGCAGUCCUGGCUCCUAGCAAGGGCCUAGCCCUUAUAUGACAUUCGUGAAUGUUGAAAUGAAUGUGACACGCCUGAAACAAUCCUUCUCCCUCACCUAGGCCCACAUCUCCAAGUCAAUAUUCCAGUACAAGCCACAUCCAGUCCCCUCACUGACACACACAGGCCUGGGCCCAGGAGCUCACCCCUGUGCUGUAAGGCUAGGUGCAUGUGUUAUUUCCAGAGUCUACCCUUGGAGGUGCCUCAGACUCCUGGGUACCUGUCGCUGGGAGGUAGCCAGUCAUGCUGUCCACAUACAUGCUUUUGGGCAGUAGAGAAGCUGAUCAUUGGGAAGGUUUAUUUCCUGUCUCCACAACAGGAGGCAGGUCACAGCAGUGGCCACACAGUGCACAAAAGGCCAUCCCCUCACAGCCGCAUGGUUGGCAUGCAGCAUCUCAGCCUCCAAACUGGAAGCCCCCUAUCCAAGGAGCCCCCAGGUGGGAGAGGAAGGUCACAAGCCUCCCAAGUACCUCAAGAUGCCUGCGCAUCCUCCCCCAUUUCUCAGAUGGGCCAAGGCCUGUGAAGCCCUUGCAGUAGUAGCUCAGGUGUAGCAUCUGCUCAGCUUCCCUCCCCACUCAUUUGCACACAGCCAGAGCUGCGGGACUUCUGCCCUCUGGCCUCCAGCACUGCUGUGAAUCAGAACUAGUCAAGAGAACUGGGUGCUUGUGUUAAAUGGGAACACUCUGGAAUAAAAUAUGGGCUUUUUUAAAGAGAUGGGGUCUCACUAUGUUGCCCAGGCUGGUCUUGAACUCCUGGCCUCAAGCAAUCCUCCCAGGUCAGCCUCCCAAAUUGCUGGGAUUACAGGCGUGAGCCAGCACACCCAGCCCCUGCUAGCUUUUUAAUAUGAACUUCCAGUGUAUUCUUGAGCACUCUCAGGCAACAUGGCCGUUACCGAGCAACUUUGUCCUGAGGUGCAUUUGGAAGGCUCUGGGACUUGGUCCCCAUGCUCAACUUCAGGGCACCUUGGCAGAAAGAAGAGUGGUUCCUACACCAGCAGCUUAUAUAUUAAUGCCCACAUUACUCCAUUUUCUUCAGGUCGUCAAAAAAGGUUCCACUGAGGUGCUGUCUUUCUGUAAAUGAAAAUGAGCUGAAAUGCUCCUGUGACCUGCCCUCCAUUUGUGGGUCUCAUGAUACUAUCUUUCUUCUGCUUAACACGAUGGCAUCAUCCAGUGAGACAGGUCCUGUUUUUGUUUUUUUCUUUUUUUCUUUUUCUUUUUUGAGACAGAGUCUCACUCUGUUGCCCAGGCUGGAGUGCAGUGGAGCAGUCUUGGCUCACUGCAACCUCUGCCUCCCGGGUGCAAGCAGUUCUCCUGCCUCAGCCUUCCAAGCAGCUGGGAUUACAGGUACCUGCGACCAUACCACCUAAUUUUUUGUAUUUUUAGUAGAGAUGGGGUUUCGCCAUGUUGGGCAGGCUGGUCUUGAACUCCUGACCUCAUGAUCUACUGUCUCAGCCUCUCAAAGUGGUGGGAUUAUAGGCGUGAGCCACAGUGCCUGGCUUUUUUUUUUUUUUGGAGACAGCCCCAUCGUUCUGUCGCCAGGCUGGAGUGCAGUGGUGCGAUCUCGGCUCACUGCAACCUCUGACUUCCUGGUUCAAGCGAUUCUUCUGCCUAAGCCUCCUGAGUAGCUGGGAUUACAGGCACACGCCACCAUGCCCGACUAAUUUUUGUAUUCUUAGUAGAGAUGGGGUUUCACCAUGUUGGCCAGGAUGGUCUCGAUCUCCCGGCCUUGUGGUCCACCUGCCUCAGCCACCUACAGUUCUGGGAUUACAGGUGUGAGCCACUGCGGCCGGCAGAGACAGGUCCUUCUUAUCCCUGUAAGGCACAGUAUCUCUGCCAUAGAUUGGGUCCCUGGUUUGGGAAGAGGGUAAAACAAGCCCUCAUUCUUGGGUCUCGUCAUUGGACAAGCUGGCUGGGCAAGUCACAGCAUCCACAUUUGGUGGAACAUGGGUGUUGGUAGACCCCAACCCAGAGAGCUUGCACCCUUGCAGAGGACGUCUCCUUCACUACUGCACUGGCUCCCCCUGCACAGGGGCCUAAACCAGCUUGGGCCUUAGGGAAGCCAAUAGGGGAGGCGUAGCUGCUUGUUCUCCCUCCUGCCCAUCCACUUCAGCUCACCGUAAUAUCCCAAGUGGUCUUCCCCUUGCUAGAAUCAGAGGACAGGCUGACCUAAAAACCAACUCAGUAUGCAGCUUUUCAAAGCAAUGAGUCAGGCAGGGCUUUUGACAUAAUGUCCUCUGCAGUUCAUUUUAAACAAGGAUACAAA